AACGAACGCUGGCGGCAUGCCUAACACAUGCAAGUCGAACGAGACCUUCGGGUCUAGUGGCGCACGGGUGCGUAACGCGUGGGAAUCUACCCUUGGGUUCGGAAUAACAGUUAGAAAUGACUGCUAAUACCGGAUGAUGACGUAAGUCCAAAGAUUUAUCGCCCAAGGAUGAGCCCGCGUAAGAUUAGCUUGUUGGUGGGGUAAUGGACUACCAAGGCGACGAUCUUUAGCUGGUCUGAGAGGAUGAUCAGCCACACUGGGACUGAGAUACGGCCCAGACUACUACGGGAGGCAGCAGUGGGGAAUAUUGGACAAUGGGCGAAAGCCUGAUCCAGCAAUGCCGCGUGAGUGAUGAAGGCCUUAGGGUUGUAAAGCUCUUUUACCAGGGAUGAUAAUGACAGAACCUGGAGAAUAAGCUCCGGCUAACUCCGUGCCAGCCGCCGCGGUAA
rnacentral:rRNA from 1 species